GUGCUCACUUCGGCAGCACAUAUACUAAAAUCGGGUGCCUACAGGGUAGAUUAGCAUGGCCCCUGUGCAAGGAUGACGCGAAAAUUUGUGAAGCAUUCCAUAUUUUU
ensembl:snRNA U6 U6 spliceosomal RNA